UGAGUCUAUAGUUCAAUAGUAGAACACCAUGCUUUUAACUUGGAGAUAGAGGUUCAAAUCCUCUUAGACUUACCUU
rnacentral:tRNA from 1 species